GGUCCAGUAGCUCAAUGGAUAGAGCACCAGUCUUCGGAACUGGGUGUUGGGGGUUCGAGUCCCUCCUGGACCGCCA
rnacentral:tRNA from 5 species